ACAAACAUCACCCCUCUCCAGCUGUGCUUUCCCAUACACAGACAAAUCCUGCUAGGAAAUGACAAGGAGCAGCUAAAGGAAACGGGCUUCGGAGAUACAAAACGCUCAUCACUGCCGCGCUUGGAAUGGAGAUGAAAAUGUGCCUUCAUUUACAAAGGAUUGAAGAGUCAUGAGUUGAGGAACUGGAGAAGAUAUUGGGACACAGAUUCAUUAAAAAACUAGGAACUUGCAAACAUUCCCAAUAUUUGGAGUGCUUGUCUAUUCAAACAGAGAGAAGACAGUGCCAAAAAGGCUCUCAGGCUACUCCCUAGAAGAGAGGUGUCAAUGCACAAAACUUGGUGAGGAUGUCUCGAGUGAUGGGAUUCUCACUGCCAGGGGAACAGCCAAGGAUCCAGGGAGGAGCCAUGGAAAUGCAUGAGAUAUGCCAGCUCUCAAGAGCAGCUUGAAGUGGCACUGGGCCCCUUCGAUUCUGGCCCUUGGCAGCAGCUGGUGUUGCCCAAGUUUGAAGUGGGGCAGAGAUGCAGCUGAGCUCCCAGCCCACCUCUGGGGGGAAGCUGAAAAGGGCAUCUUUUCUCCUUCAGACCAGUCCACCUUCACUAACUUUUAGCCAGAGGAGCUUCCUACGCAGAGCAUCAGAGUGUUGCACACACAUGACCAGAACUGCCACAGGCAGACACCAGAAACUACACUAAAAACAAUUAAAAUAUGCUCAUGAAAUCCCACUUCCCUGCUCAUCCAGCCCAUCAAACUCUAGUCUAGAUGAUGGGGUUUCUGAGCUCCUCUGAGCAAAC